rnacentral:rRNA from 1 species
UACGGGGGGGGGCAAGCGUUGUUCGGAAUUACUGGGCGUAAAGGGCUCGUAGGUGGCCAACUAAGUCGGACGUGAAAUCCCUCAGCUUAACUGGGGAACUGCGUCCGAUACUGGAUGGCUUGAGUUUGGGAGAGGGAUGCGGAAUUCCAGGUGUAGCGGUGAAAUGCGUAGAUAUCUGGAGGAACACCGGUGGCGAAGGCGGCAUCCUGGACCAACACUGACACUGAGGAGCGAAAGCGUGGGGAGCAAACAGG